rnacentral:lncRNA from 1 species
CAGACAACCUGUGUUUAAUGUUGAGUUAGCAGGAGGCGCCUCUGCUUUUCACAGCAAAAUAUAGGCAGGUCGUAGAGGCUCAGUGAUCCUCUCACCUUGACCUUUCAAAGCUUUGGAAUUACAGGUGUGAGCCAUCCAAAUUGUUGAAGCUUCAGGCCCCAGAAAACCUGGAUCCUCCCUGGCUCCGUGGGUGGCUAGGAAGAUGGGUGGCCCAUCAUUAGAUCCAGGGAGCAUCAUGGCAGGGUAAGAUCCUGACUUAGGAGUACUUUGCCUUCUCCAGUUAUGACAGGGCACCCUGGGUGUCCUCAUCAUCCGCCCCCAGCACCAGUGUCUUGUAAAGAAGACCUAGAAAAGCUUUCAGUAGCCUGAGGCUGUCUUUAAGAAAAAGAAAAGAAGGCGUGAGCUACCACACCACCCGGCCAAGAGGUAUUAUUCUUAUUCGUCUCAGUUACGUUCAGCCCCUCCCAUUCCAGCCCCCAGGGUAGGACUCCACAGUGUCCAGCCUGAACUCUUGCACCAGCCUCCCAGGGGCCUCCCACCCUGGUACCUUCACCUCUGUUGCAGCCUCCAGUCUGCCGCCAAGUAGGCUGUGCCAACGUGAACAUGCCAGAUCACAGGUCACUGGGCCUUCCUCACCCAUGCUGUUGCCUCUGCUCAGAAUAUUCUCUGCUUCCCACGCCCCUCCUCAACCUGCAAAUUCUAGCUCAGCUUUUAGGUUUCAACUUUGCCUUUCCCCAAGAGUCCUUUCGAGGUCCCAGGCUGGGCUGCAUGUCCCCAUCUGUCCUCCUAGAUCCUCUGUUGCACCCCUGGCAGAGUGCUCAGCCCUGCCUUACUGGAAGUCCCCGAGGGCGUGAUUAUGUCUAUAAGUUCAACCUGGAGUGCUCGGCACAGGCAGAGUGCUGGCACACAGCGGGUGUAAGCAGGCAGCAGGACCCCAGGGAUUCUAGGAAUUUAAUCAACUUGAGCAAUCAGCCUGCUUUACAGCCUUCCUCCCUGAGGCCUGUUCCUCCCCAAACCCCGUAGAAUUUGGCCACCUUGUUGGUUUAAGCCAGCUCUUGACAGACCCUGGCAACUUAUAGAUGAACUCAAGUGAACUUUCCUCAUUAGUACACUGAAGUCUCCACCCCGGAGGAGCUAUAGCUUCUUACCCUAACACCACACUCAUGUGCUGGCAUGAUGACACACUGACUCUGCGCAACUGGGACCCCUCCUCUACAUGCCACAACGCACCCUCUCCUCUCUCUGUCGCCCCCUAAAACCCUCCUGUCACUUUUCUUCAGGGAGGCACUGCUUUGGAGAAUACUCCCAGUGCCCUCCUUACUUGCACCAAGUAAUAAAACUCCUACUAAUCAAAACCCGAGUCUUGCGGUUACUUACCGGGUGAACAAACACUGGUGUUUUAUUUUUGUUUGUUAACACAGGCACAUGAUAACUAUUUAUUGAAUGUUAAACAGAUGAAUAAAUAAAUGCCACUUUUUUUUUUUUUUUUGAGACCGAGUCUCCCUUUGUCACCAGGCUGGAGUGUAGUGGCGCGAUCUCGGCUCACUGCAACCUCCGCCGCCCAGGUUCAAGUGAUUCUCUUGCCUCAGCCUCCCAAGUAGCUGGGACUACAGGCACGUGCCACCACGUCCAGCUAAUUUUUGUAUUUUUAGUUAGAGAUGGGGUUUCGCCAUGUUGGCCAGGAUAGUCUCGAUCUCUUGACCUCGUGAUCUGCCUGCCUCGGCCUCCCAGUGUGCUGAGAUUACAGGCGUGAGCCACCGCACCCGGCCUUUUUUUAUUAUUAUUUAAAUGGAGUCUCG